GUACUUGUACCGACUGGAUGAGCAGCGAACGGGUGAGUAACGCGUGGGGAAUCUGCCUUUGAGCGGGGGACAACAUUUGGAAACGAAUGCUAAUACCGCAUAAAAACUUUAAACACAAGUUUUAAGUUUGAAAGAUGCAAUUGCAUCACUCAAAGAUGAUCCCGCGUUGUAUUAGCUAGUUGGUGAGGUAAAGGCUCACCAAGGCGAUGAUACAUAGCCGACCUGAGAGGGUGAUCGGCCACAUUGGGACUGAGACACGGCCCAAACUCCUACGGGAGGCAGCAGUAGGGAAUCUUCGGCAAUGGACGAAAGUCUGACCGAGCAACGCCGCGUGAGUGAAGAAGGUUUUCGGAUCGUAAAACUCUGUUGGUAGAGAAGAACGUUGGUGAGAGUGGAAAGCUCAUCAAGUGACGGUAACUACCCAGAAAGGGACGGCUAACUACGUGCCAGCAGCCGCGGUAAUACGUAGGUCCCGAGCGUUGUCCGGAUUUAUUGGGCGUAAAGCGAGCGCAGGUGGUUUAUUAAGUCUGGUGUAAAAGGCAGUGGCUCAACCAUUGUAUGCAUUGGAAACUGGUAGACUUGAGUGCAGGAGAGGAGAGUGGAAUUCCAUGGGUUAGCGGU
rnacentral:rRNA from 1 species